rnacentral:rRNA from 1 species
CACGUAGGGCGCAAGCGUUGUCCGGAAUUAUUGGGCGUAAAGAGCUCGUAGGCGGUCUGUUGCGUCCGCUGUGAAAUCUCGGGGCUUAACCCCGAGCCUGCAGUGGAUACGGGCAGACUAGAGGUAGGUAGGGGAGAAUGGAAUUCCUGGUGUAGCGGUGAAAUGCGCAGAUAUCAGGAAGAACACCCGUGGCUAAGGCGGCUCUCUAGUACGGUACUGACGCUGAGACGCGAAAGCGUGGGGAGCGAACAGG